rnacentral:rRNA from 1 species
AAUUAGUCAAUGCUCGCAAGAGUGAACUAGCUAACUGAAAUCAAUGAAAAUAAUAGAUUGAUAACGUAAGGGAAAAUAAUGAUAUUACCUUACUAUUAGUGUCGUCCAAAACUGGUGCCAGAAGACUCGGUAAGGCCAGAGACGCAAACGUUAAUCGUCUUAAUCAGGCGUAAAGGGUUUGUAGGCUGCUUUUAACUUAUAAAAUAAAAAUAAAAGCUAGAAUCAAAUAGAGGUUAUAUUACAUAAUACUUAGAGUAGGUCUUAUAUCCUUAGAUACUAAGGGGAAUAUUAAGGGCGAAAGCUUUUUUACCAUUAAUGAUUGACGCUGAGAAACGAAGGUGAGGAAAGGAAAUAGGAUUAGAUACCCAAAAUACCCCUCUCUGUCAACGAUGAAUGGUCACUAUUAGUAAAUAAAUUAGUAGUAAUGUUAACACAAUAACCAUUCCGCCUUGUUACUACGACUGCAAAGUUAAAAACAAAAAAAUUAGUCGGUCUCGAAGCAAACGAAGUGAAGCAUGUUAUUUAAUUCGAUAAUCCGC